rnacentral:sRNA from 1 species
UUUAGUUGAAAAGGAUCCACAUGACAAAUUGUAGGCCAAUUGGAAGGCCUAGAAGCAAGAUGUGAAAAACAAUGUGAGUUCCACAGCAGCCGCCUGACUGGGACACAUGCGUGGCUGGUCCCAGGACGCUGCUGACCGGGGCGGUGGGCUCCCUGCUCCUGGAAUGGUACGGCUGGCAGAGCAUCUUCUAUUUCUCCGGCGGCCUCACCUUGCUUUGGGUGUGGUACGUGUACAGAUCUCAUCCUGGCCUUGGGUGUCCUGGCCCAAAGCCGGCCGGUGUCCAGGCACAGCAGAGUCCCCUGGAGACGGCUCUUCCGGAAGCCUGCUGUCUGGGCAGCUGUCGUCUCCCAGCUCUCUGCAGCCUGCUCCUUCUUCAUCCUCCUCUCCUGGCUGCCCACCUUCUUCGAGGAGACCUUCCCCGACGCCAAGGGCUGGAUCUUCAAUGUGGUGCCUUGGUUGGUGGCAAUUCCGGCCAGUCUAUUCAGCGGGUUUCUCUCUGAUCAUCUCAUCAAUCAGGGUUACAGAGCCAUCACGGUGCGGAAGCUCAUGCAGGGCAUGGGCCUUGGCCUCUCCAGCGUCUUUGCUCUGUGCCUGGGCCACACCUCCAGCUUCUGUGAGUCUGUGGUCUUUGCAUCAGCCUCCAUCGGCCUCCAGACCUUCAACCACAGUGGCAUUUCUGUUAACAUCCAGGACUUGGCCCCGUCCUGCGCCGGCUUUCUGUUUGGUGUGGCCAACACAGCCGGGGCCUUGGCAGGUGUCGUGGGUGUGUGUCUAGGCGGCUACUUGAUCGAGACCACGGGCUCCUGGACUUGCCUGUUCAACCUUGUGGCCAUCAUCAGCAACCUGGGGCUGUGCACCUUCCUGGUGUUUGGACAGGCUCAGAGGGUGGACCUGAGCUCUACCCAUGAGGACCUCUAGCUCCCAACCCCACAGCCUCUCCAAGGACCCAGGCGCCAGCAGCCCCGGGACACAGGGGACUCAGUGUGUGGGACUUGGUCACUCCAUGUCAGACACACGAGCAGAGAGGAACACAAACCACUGUGGAGCCUGAAGCUCCUUAAGAAGAGUCCACACCAGCCGGUGGGAGGGUGGGGUGGGCCUGGGUCCAGACCAGGCUCGCUGCUCUCUGGGCCUCAGUUUCCCCACCUGCCGGCGGGCUCGGCCCUGUCCUCCUCACAGGCUGGUGUGGCCGUCAGGGUGGGUGGGGUUAUUGUUAGUAGGCGCAGCCUCAUUCCCACCACGAUCUGUUCCGCGUGGUUCCCGCCAAACCUCCCUCGGUCGCCGUGUUCUCCGCAAGCCUCCCGCAGCGCCCGCCUGCCAAUGUGAGGCUGGCACCAGGCUGCAGCCUCCCCAGUCCCAGCCCACUUUGCUGUGUCUCUGGUGGGCUGUCCUCCUUGGUGGGAGCUGUCCUGCACACUGUAGGAUGCUUAAAGGUAUCCCUGGCCUCCACCCACCCCUAGCCAGCAGCUCCCAGUCAGACAACAGCCAGAAAUGUCUCCAGACUCUGCCCAGCCUCCCCAGGUAGCCACCCUCGAGACACGACCUCAGAGUCUCUGUGUCUCCCAGCAGCCUGACAGAGACCCCCAGGGCAGUGGGUGGGUGGCGGGCUAGAGACCCUUGCCUGUGUCCGGGACCCUGGCGCCGCUCUCCCCUCCUGUGGAUCCCUCCGCACUAGCAGUGUUCUCAGUGGGCAGACGCCUGGGCACCCCUUGGGCCCUGCCCAGCAUGGCCAUGGCGCAGGCUCUCGAACCCGCAUGGCUUUCCCAGGCCUGGUGAUUCUGCUCUCCAGGGACGGUUGGCACCUUCCUCGGGGGCGGGCCCCACGCACCCCAGAACACACAGACCCACCUUUCUGGCAUUCUUUCUACCUCCCUUUUCGUUGCCUGAGGAGCUGGUGGUUUCAUGAGUUAAUGAUACAUCUUGCAAGGUGUACACAUAGAGAAAAAAACCUAAAAAUGUGGAAAAGCACGCCAAAGCCUUAUUUAAAUAAUAACUAUUAAACUAUUCAAAAAGAA